GUGUGUGCGAGAGAACUCUCGUUAAGGAACUCGGCAAAAUGACCCCGUAACUUCGGGAGAAGGGGUGCUGACCGCAAGGUCAGCCGCAGUGAAUAGGCCCAAGCGACUGUUUAUCAAAAACACAGGUCUCUGCAAAAUCGAAAGAUGACGUAUAGGGGCUGACGCCUGCCCGGUGCUGGAAGGUUAAGAGGAGAGGUUAGCGCAAGCGAAGCUUUGAAUUGAAGCCCCAGUAAACGGCGGCCGUAACAAUAACGGUCCUAAGGUAGCGAAAUUCCUUGUCGGGUAAGUUCCGACCCGCACGAAAGGCGUAACGAUUUGGGCACUGUCUCAACGAGAGACUCGGUGAAAUUAUAGUACCAGUGAAGAUGCUGGUUACCCGCGACAGGACGGAAAGACCCCAUGGAGCUUUACUGCAGUUUGAUAUUGCGUGUUUGUAUCACAUGUACAGGAUAGGUAGGAGCCGAAGAUACCGGGACGCCAGUCUCGGAGGAGGCAACGGUGGGAUACUACCCUUGUGAUAUGACCACUCUAACCCGCUGCUCUUAGCGAGCAGGGAGACAGUGUCAGACGGGCAGUUUGACUGGGGCGGUCGCCUCCAAAAAUGUAACGGAGGCGCCCAAAGGUUCCCUCAGAAUGGUUGGAAAUCAUUCGUAGAGUGUAAAGGCAGAAGGGAGCUUGACUGCGAGACCUACAAGUCGAGCAGGGACGAAAGUCGGGCUUAGUGAUCCGGUGGUUCCGCAUGGAAGGGCCAUCGCUCAACGGAUAAAAGCUACCCUGGGGAUAACAGGCUUAUCUCCCCCAAGAGUUCACAUCGACGGGGAGGUUUGGCACCUCGAUGUCGGCUCAUCGCAUCCUGGGGCUGUAGUCGGUCCCAAGGGUUGGGCUGUUCGCCCAUUAAAGCGGUACGCGAGCUGGGUUCAGAACGUCGUGAGACAGUUCGGUCCCUAUCCGUCGCGGGCGUUGGAAAUUUGAGAGGAGCUGUCCUUAGUACGAGAGGACCGGGAUGGACACACCGCUGGUGUACCAGUUGUUCUGCCAAGAGCAUCGCUGGGUAGCUAUGUGUGGACGGGAUAAACGCUGAAAGCAUCUAAGCGUGAAGCCCCCCUCAAGAUGAGAUUUCCCAUCACUUUAAGUGAGUAAGACCCCUGAGAGAUGAUCAGGUAGAUAGGUUGGGAGUGGAAGUACAGCGAUGUAUGGAGCGGACCAAUACUAAUCGGUCGAGGACUUAACC
rnacentral:rRNA from 1 species